AUUGAACGCUGGCGGCAGGCCUAACACAUGCAAGUCGAGCGAGCGGCGGACGGGUGAGUAAUGUAUGGGGACCUGCCCGACAGAGGGAGUUAACUAGUGGAAACGGUGGCUAAUACCGCAUACUAUCGGCUCAACUCUUAUGGGAUUAGCUAGUCGGUGGGGGAAAGGCACACCUAGGCGACGUUGCAUAGCUGGUCUGAGAGGAUGACCAGCCACACUGGGACUGAGCCACGGCCCAGACGCCUACGGGAGGCAGCAGUUGGGAAUAUUCCACAAUGGGCGCAAGCCUGACCCAGCCAUGCCGCGUGUGUGAAGAAGGCCUUAGGGUUGUAAAGUACUUUCGGCGGGGAGGCGUUACCCGCAGAAGAAGCACCGGCUAACUCCGUGCCAGCAGCCGCGGUAAUAC
rnacentral:rRNA from 1 species